AUAUAUUAAAAAAUAAAAGAACAACAAGAAGAAGAAGAAACCUUGACUGGGUUAAUAUAAUCAGGUAGGUAAUUGGCAAAAUAAGUAUGUCCCCAUUAUGCUAGGUAAGAUGCUGUGCUAAGCAUCUUCUGUUUCUCCUGGCUUAAUUAUACAUUUCUGUCAAAGUGUGGUCGUACUUGCUUCAAAUAUUGUGUAUCUGGAUGUGCCUUGGGUCAACAGUAAAAAUAGAGUUCCUAAUCAGGUAUGACAAAGAAUAGAGUAAAAAUUACUUUCAGGAGUAAUAAAAAAAAAGAUCUGUUCUACUUUUAAAGUAUUUGCAUCUGAAGAGGAAAUUCAAAUUUUGGCCACUCAGCAGUGGUAAUUCGUAACGGAGGCAUGGCCUGGCCUGGGGAGCAAGAAGGGCUGGCGGCACGAGGGGUCAGACCGGUGAGGUUGAUGUGAAUAAACUGGCCCUCUGCGAGGGCUGCUGUCUGGUAAAGUAAGAAACACCACAGCUUUGGCUUGUAAAUAUCAUGCUCAGGAUGCUUUUGGUGAACUGAGCUGGUGCUAGGGGGUGAACCAAACACCAGGGUAAGGCACCUAAUGCCAAUCGUCCCAGGAUCAGUGCUGGCGCGGGGACAGAUAAGGAAUGGCUUGUGGUGCAGCUUCGCAGGCCCCUUGUAGAUCCGCUUGUGGAAGCAGGCCUCUGCCCCAUGUUCAUUGAUUGUUCAUUAAUUCUUUUCAUAUUUAAGCACAAACGUGUGUUUAGUUUACCUCAGGGAGUACAACAGAAACUCCCAGUCGAUUUGGUGUCAGGAGUGCGGGUGCUGCUUGCUGGCAGGAGCCGCCAGACUGGGGCCAGAGGGGAGGCCCAGGCGGCACCACCAUCAGAGGUGAGUGAUCCUUAUCGCCUUGUCUCACCAGCAAGUGAUCUUCGCCCCAACCACAUCUCCGGGCUGGCCGUUAUAUCAGUGGACAAACAUGGUACAGAAGAAUCCUUCAAAGCAUCCCCUGUUUGGAUGAAAGCCCAGGAGCAUGAGAACCGAUCCUCAAGAGCCCUGAUCUCAGCCUCUCUGGUACUUAACAGCCAACUUACCAUUCCCGCCAACAGAUAUUAUUCAAAGACCACGUUCUGA
ensembl:lncRNA